CUAGCAGGAGGCCAGGCGCAGUGGCUCACGCCUGUAAUCUCAGCAUUUUGGGAGGCUGAGGUGGGCAGAUCACCUGAGGUUGGGAGUUUGAGACCAGCCUGACCAACAUGUAGAAACCCCGUCUCUACUAAAAAUACAAAAUUAGCUGGACAUGGUGGCAAAUACCUGUAAUCCCAGCUACUCGGGAGGCUGAGGUAGGAGAAUUGCUUGAACCCGGGAGGUGGAGGUUGCGGUGAGCUGAGACCAUGCCAUUGCACUCCAGCCUGGGCAACACGACCAAAACUCCAUCUCAAAACAAAUAAAUAAAUAUUCAUCAGGAAAGCAGAUACCGACUGUCUCAUCAUAAUCUGUUCCAUGUAGAUAUGUUACUUUAUAGCUUGCACUUUUUAAUGCUAUAACCUUUUCAAGAUUUAAAUUCUGAAUUGCACUGCCUAAUAGGAACUAGUGCUAAUUGCUCCCUGAAGUUCAGUCUAUUAUUUUGGAAGGAGUGUGAUAACAUUGGCAGGAUGCCAGCGAAUGUACCACCCCUCCCAGACUACUCAAUUUUGUACAGUGACAUCCAGAGACUUCUGUUUUUUAAACAUUUCAUAUACUAGGGGAAAUGUAAGAGAUAACUGUCUGAAAUGCAAGCAACGUUAAAAGCUUGAACAGGAAGGACAUAGCUAAUGAGAGGCUAGGAAAUGAGAUAAUCUCUUUUAUAGAAUCAUCUGAUAUUGAGGAAACAAGGAAUUUACAAAGGAGGGGAUACAAUGAAAUUAACCAAUGAGUGGUUGAUCCUCUGGGAUCAGUAACCUUUAGACCUGGACAUAAAAACUAGCCUGUGGUAGAUGAAUGUACUAGGGCUAAUCUACUCAGGAAUUUGUUUCCUUUAAGAAUAGUUUCCCCCUACAAGAUUCAGAAAACUACAUCCUAAGUUAAGAAGUGAAAGAAUCAAGGUAGGGGCAAAAUGCCAUUCCUGUAUAAUUUUUUAAGCUACCUACUCAUAAAACAACACAAAACCCUUGAAAUCCAGCUCUUUUAAAUUCCAUGUCCCAGUAAAUCAGAAACAUCCAUUUCAUAUGCCAGAACAUGAGGAGAUGGUGUAGUGGUCAGAAUAUCAACCCUGACUGCUUAUUCUAAAAGCCUAGCAUCCAAGAAAGGCUUGAUAAUCUAGAAACAAAAAUUGUACUUGUCAAAAUUCAUUAUCCUGUAUAUACCUCAAAUGUCUGCAUUUUAUUGCUUUUAAAUUAUACUUUAAUUUUUAAAAAACAUGAAAAAAAGAUUGGAAAAUGAGAAAGGAAUAAAGGUACGUUAUCAGAUCCUGUGGCUAAAGGAAACUAAAUAAAUUUUAUCUAUUAACAGGAUCAAAAGCAAAAAACAAUAAGCAAAGGUUUAACAAAAAAGCUUCUGAGCUGCCUAAACACACAAUUCCCUUGGAUUAUGAAAGGGACUUCAGUAAGUGAUGACACCCUCUAUUCGAUUAAAAAAUUGUAGUUCAGGCGGCUAAAGUGGGAGGAUUGCUUGAGCCCAGGAGUUUGAGACCAGCCUAAGCCUAAGCGACAGAGUGAGGCUCUUUUUUUUUUUUUUUUUCCAGACAGGGUCUUGCCCUGUUGCCUAGGCUGUUGUGCAGUGGUGCACACACAGCUCACUGCAGCCUCAACCUCCUGGGCUCAAUUGAUCUUCCUGCCUCAGCCUCCUGAAUAGCUGUGACUACAGGUACAUACCACCCUGCCUGGCUAAUUUUUUUUUUUUCAGAAACUGUCUAACUCUGUCACCCAGGCUGGAGUACACUGGCACAAUCAACCCUCACUGCAGCCUCGACCUCCAAGCUCAGGUGAUCCUCCCACCUCAGCCUCCUGAGUAGCUAGGACUACAGGCACGUGCCACUGUGCAUGUCUAAUUUUUUUUUUUUUUUUGUAGAGGUGAGUUUUUGCCAUGUUGCCCAGGCUGGUCUCAAACUCCUUGGCUCAAGCAAUCUGCCCACCUUGGCCUUCCAAAGUGCUGGGAUUAUAGGCGUGAGCCACCCUGCCUGGCCUACCCAGCUAAUUUUUCAAUUUUUUUGUAGAGAUGGGGGUCUCACCAUGUUGCCCUGGCUGAUUAGACCCCAUAUUAAACAACAACCCACAACCACAACAAAACUGUAGAGAAUUCUUGGGGGUGAUGAGCAAGGUUUGAUUUUUUUCCCUUCCAUUAUUUUCAUGGUCUAUAAUUUAAGAAUAGUUUGACUUUUUCAUCAAUAUGAAAGUCGUGCAUACUCAUCCUAGCAAAUCAAGACUCUGGCUCUUGGGAUUUAGGCAUUUCAUGGUGUGGGGAGGAUUAGAUACAUUUAUUAAAAACCCAGGCUGAAAAAC
rnacentral:lncRNA from 1 species